UUCAUAAAUAUUGAAUUUAACUUUUAAGUGAAAAGGCUUAAAUAAUUUGGGGGGACGAUAAGACCCUAUAAAUCUUAACAUUUCUACUAUUAAAUGUACUUAGAGUGUAGUUGAUGUAUGUUUAUUGGGGUAGUGUUUUACUGGGGCGGUAUAAAUAAAAUUAGUAACUGUUUAUAUUAAUUACAGUAAUAUCUGAACAUUUGUAGAUCCUUAAUUAAAGAUCAAAAGUUUAAGUUACUUUAGGGAUAACAGCGUUAUUUCUUUUAAGAGUUCAUAUCUAAAAAGAAGUUUGCGACCUCGAU
rnacentral:rRNA from 1 species